rnacentral:rRNA from 1 species
AUGAAGCCACGUUCUCUCCCUGUAAAGUUUUGUAUCAAUCACCCUGUAUGUCUAGUAUUAUUGAUGGCUCCGAUCAAGAUCGGUAUCAACGGUUUCGGCCGGAUCGGCAGGCUUGUGGCCAGGGUUGCGCUCCAGAGCCCCGAUGUCGAGCUCGUCGCCGUCAACGACCCCUUCAUCACCACCGACUACAUGACCUACAUGUUCAAGUAUGACACUGUCCACGGACAGUGGAAGCACCAUGAAGUUAAGGUGAAGGACUCCAAGACCCUUCUCUUCGGUGAGAAGGAGGUUGCUGUGUUUGGCUGCAGGAACCCUGAGGAGAUCCCAUGGGCUGCUGCUGGUGCUGAGUACGUUGUUGAGUCCACCGGUGUUUUCACCGACAAGGACAAGGCUGCAGCUCACAUUAAGGGUGGUGCCAAGAAGGUCAUCAUUUCUGCUCCCAGCAAGGAUGCUCCCAUGUUUGUCUGUGGUGUCAAUGAGAAGGAAUACAAGUCUGACAUCGACAUUGUCUCCAACGCUAGCUGCACCACUAACUGCCUUGCUCCUCUUGCUAAGGUUAUCAAUGACAGGUUUGGCAUUGUUGAGGGUUUGAUGACCACAGUUCAUGCCAUGACUGCAACCCAGAAGACUGUUGAUGGUCCUUCCAGCAAGGACUGGAGAGGUGGAAGGGCUGCCAGCUUCAACAUCAUUCCAAGCAGCACUGGUGCCGCAAAGGCUGUUGGCAAGGUGCUCCCAGAGCUUAACGGAAAGUUGACUGGAAUGGCCUUCCGUGUUCCCACUGUUGAUGUUUCUGUUGUUGAUCUGACUGUUAGACUUGCGAAGCCAGCAACCUAUGAUCAGAUUAAGGCUGCUAUCAAGGAGGAGUCUGAGGGAAACCUCAAGGGCAUUUUGGGUUACGUUGAUGAGGACCUUGUUUCCACUGACUUUCAGGGUGACAACAGGUCCAGCAUCUUCGAUGCCAAGGCCGGGAUUGCUCUGAACGACAACUUUGUCAAGCUUGUCUCCUGGUACGACAACGAGUGGGGAUACAGCACCCGCGUGGUCGACCUCAUCCGUCACAUGCACAGCACCAAGUAA